rnacentral:rRNA from 1 species
AAUGGGCGCAAGCCUGAUCCAGCCAUGCCGCGUGAGUGAUGAAGGCCCUAGGGUCGUAAAGCUCUUUCGCCUGUGAAGAUAAUGACGGUAGCAGGUAAAGAAACCCCGGCUAACUCCGUGCCAGCAGCCGCGGUAAUACGGAGGGGGUUAGCGUUGUUCGGAAUUACUGGGCGUAAAGCGCGCGUAGGCGGAUUAGUCAGUCAGAGGUGAAAUCCCAGGGCUCAACCCUGGAACUGCCUUUGAUACUGCUAGUCUUGAGUUCGAGAGAGGUAAGUGGAAUUCCGAGUGUAGAGGUGAAAUUCGUAGAUAUUCGGAGGAACACCAGUGGCGAAGGCGGCCUACUGGCUCGAUACUGACGCUGAGGUGCGAAAGUGUGGGGAGCAAACAGGAUU